CCAACCUCAAGAUGGCAAUGAGGCCCCGAAACCCGCGUCCCCGUGGGUUUUUACCCUAUUAGGGGACGGGGAUGGGUAUCUUUUCAUCCCCGCGGGAUUGUUGUUGGGCACAUUAUACAACCCGACACGUUUCGUGGGUAUACACCCGUUUCGGUAGUCCCCGAACCCGAAACCCGGCAAUACCAGCGAAAUUACAUUAUUUUUUACCACCGUAGUCAUCUUACCCUCGAAAUCUUAGAGGCCUUGAUGUGUUCACAAGAUUGGAUAAGAAACAAAUAUAAAGAUGUUGAUAAUGAAUAAGGACAAAGCUUUUGGAGUUGUUUUCAAGAUAUUCAAGAGGGAAUGCAGGUGAAGUACAGGUACUUGCAAAUUUCAUAUACUAAUAUGCAUAUUUUUCUCAUGUUUAACUUUAGCUUGAGCGAAUUUUGAUCUUCCCUAGGACUUGGCACUUUGAUUUGGCAUUGGAAGAUUUGAAGAUGGUCGUUUGGAGGCUUGGAGAUGUGAAAGAUGCCAUGAUGAUUCCAACUUUAAAGUGUUUGUUGAAAUAUUUUGAUUUUAUCGUGGGUUUCCUGUGGGUUCCUCGAAACCUAAUGGGUUUAGGGGACGGGCAGAAAACUAGCCCCGCAUACGGUGAUGGGGAUGGGAUGGGUUUACGAUUUUCUCGUGGGGAUGGGUUUGGGAAGGCAAAACCCGAUGGGUUUCGUCCCCGUUGCUAACUAUACCGCAAUUCUCUCUGUGUGCUUACUGCUCCUCUUGAAAUCAAUGGUGUCACUACCCUUUUUUCUGAAGGCUUCGCAGCUGGGCUCUAUAUGGAAUGAUGCAUACACCCAUAUCGAUCUCUAGCUCUACUUUUGAAGAACCAUUACCGUUAAGGGAUGCAAAUUGGUGGAUGUGAAGGUACACUUUGGUCCUAGCUCAAUCAAAUGAACCAAAAAUACCAAAAUAAGUAUCUUUGGAAAUUUUUAGUUCAUUUGAUUAAACUAGUUAGGCUCGGAGUUAAAGUUACCCAUUUGCACGCCUAAUUUACCGGCAUAUGAUCAGUUCCAUCCUCUUUCUUUUUUGCCACAGUAGAAUCUUUCCGCAUCCUCUUUUUACUGUUCAAUCUUCAAUUGUUGUGGAAUAUAGGUCUGUCUCGGUUUGGGGACAGAUCCAAUCGAUUGA